UGACGGAGUCUCACUCUAUCGCGGAGGCUGGAGUGCAGUGGAGCAAUCUCAGCUCACUACAACCUCUGCCUCCUGGAUUCAAGAAAUUCUCCUGCCUCAGCCUCCCAAGUAGCUGGGAUUACAGGCGCCUGUCACCACGCCUGGCUAAUUUUUGUAUUUUUAGUAGAGACGGGGUUACACCAUGUUGGCCAGGCUGGUCUCGAACUCCUGAUCUCAGGUGAUCCACCCGCCUCAGCUUCCCAAAGUGCUGGGAUUAUAGGUCUGAGCCACCGUGCCCGGCCUUUUACAUGCUUUUAACUCAUUUAAUCCUCACAACAAACUCUGUGAGGUGGGUUCUUAUUUUUCCUACUUUAUAAAUGUGAUAACAGGCGUACAGAAGUUAAGUAAUUUGCCAUAUCCUAGAGGCUUCCAGAGCUCUCUGUCUUAAUCACUAAGGCUAUGCUGUAGGGUCUGGAGGGUGAAAGCAGUACCCAGCUUCAGGACUGCAACAGUGUCGCAGAGGCUCCAGUCU
rnacentral:antisense_RNA from 1 species